CAGCAGCCACGGUAAUGCGUAGGUGGCAAGCGUUGUCCGGAAUUAUUGGGUGUAAAGCGCGCGCAGGCGGAUCAGUCAGUCUGUCUUAAAAGUUCGGGGCUUAACCCCGUGGUGGGAUGGAAACUGCUGAUCUAGAGUAUCGGAGAGGAAAGUGGAAUUCCUAGUGUAGCGGUGAAAUGCGUAGAUAUUAGGAAGAACACCAGUGGCGAAGGCGACUUUCUGGACGAAAACUGACGCUGAGGCGCGAAAGCCAGGGGAGCGAACGGGAUUAGAUACCCCGGUAGUCCCUGUCUCUUAUACA
rnacentral:rRNA from 1 species